UAUAUUUUGAAGUCUGUAUGAUGAGCCUCACAUAAUGCAGUCUAUUGGGUUGGGUCUGCCGGUACCUGGCAACGGUAACUUGAUGUACCCCUAACGUUUACGUUAUUUGGAUGAGAAAGGAGGUGUAUGAUGAUUGAUUUACAUCUAUACACUGGUUGCUCUCAGCGCUACGGCAAUUAAUCUGAGGCUCAGAAAAUAGCAAUAAAAACAUCCGUCCGUUGUAGGUCCAUAUUUUCCCAAGCAGAUGCACUGGAACACAGUCAGGUCCGGAUCUCGGAACUACAGAAGUCGGAAAUUCCCGAGUUCCGGGUACAAUUGAAUGCAGCAUCAAUCCAUUCAACGCUGAAUAUCGGAAAGGAAAAGAAAUCCAAAACGGGGAGAACCAGUGUUCUGAAGCUCCGUCCGCAGGGGGAUCUAAUGUGACCUGGUGUAAGAGGGACCUUGAUGGGCAACGGGUGUACAGCAGCAAGCGGAGGAAAAGGGGAUCAUCUGCUGAUCGACAUGCCACUAUUCCGA
rnacentral:lncRNA from 1 species